UACAGAGGUCUCAAGCGUUGUUCGGAUUCAUUGGGCGUAAAGGGUGCGUAGGUGGCGGGGUAAGUCAGGUGUGAAAUUUCGGAGCUUAACUCCGAAACUGCAUUUGAUACUGCCUUGCUUGAGGACUGGAGAGGAGACUGGAAUUCACGGUGUAGCAGUGAAAUGCGUAGAUAUGCGGAGGAACACCGAUGGCGAAGGCAAUCCCCUGGACCUGUACUGACGCUCAUGCACGAAAGCGUGGGGAGCAAACAGG
rnacentral:rRNA from 1 species